rnacentral:rRNA from 1 species
GUCCACGCCGUAAACGAUGAGAACUUGCUGUUAGACAUAUAAAUAUGUUUAGUGGCGUAGCUAACGUGUUAAGUUCUCCGCCUGGGGAGUACGACCGCAAGGUUAAAACUCAAAGGAAUUGACGGGGGCCCGCACAAGCGGUGGAGCAUGUGGUUUAAUUCGAUGCUACACGAAGAACCUUACCUACUCUUGAUCUCCAAAAACCAAAUAGAGAUAUUUGGGUGCCUUCGGGAAUUGGAUGACAGGUGCUGCAUGGCUGUCGU